GACGUAGGGAGCAAGCGUUGUCCGGAAUUACUGGGCGUAAAGGGCUCGUAGGCGGCCAACUAAGUCAAACGUGAAAUCCCUCGGCUUAACCGGGGAACUGCGUCUGAUACUGGAUGGCUUGAGUUUGGGAGAGGGAUGCGGAAUUCCAGGUGUAGCGGUGAAAUGCGUAGAUAUCUGGAGGAACACCGGUGGCGAAGGCGGCAUCCUGGACCAACACUGACGCUGAGGAGCGAAAGCCAGGGGAGCAAACGGG
rnacentral:rRNA from 1 species